AAAUGAACACGGUCAGCUGUAAAGCUUUAAGUUCUCCAAAUGGCCAACGGGAAUCUAUGAAGGACACAAAGAAGAGGACAAUGGCCUAGUUAGUGGCUGCUGAAAGUGAUGUAAAGUGCAGCAACGGGCGUCGCAUCCACAGAUUCUGAAGGGGUGUCACUCACUUCCACAAUUUCCUAAAUAUAGCAAGCAGAGAGUUCUCACCGGCUGGACAGCAGCAGACUCAGCAAUGGCGACCUCCACGUCUGAGACAGAUUCUGUGACAACAAAGUCAUCAACCAGGCUGUCAGCAGUGUCCUGUGUGAGAAGAUAUCAGGGAACAAGAUAAGAACAUUUCAAGAGUUUCCACAUGCCAACACACAGACUGUGAAUGAGGGGAAUUAAUUAGCAAGCAUCCCAGGAGAAAACUGAAGUCUCUGAACUAGAUCAUGGUUUUAAAUGGCUUAAAAGCACACUGUAUUGCAUCAAAUAUUUAAGAUAGGGGUGUUGAAUUUAAUAUCCAUGAUGACAUAAUACAGUUUGCAGAUUUAUAAACCCAUAAGUUGUUUCCAGUGUGAUCUAUAUCUACAAUGCAGUCAAUCAAAACGGCACACAACACGAGUAGAUUCUAAUUGUUUUGAGAGUUAGGUUUUACCUCUUUGACUUCAGUUACAGCCUC